rnacentral:lncRNA from 1 species
AUGCACUUUGUUCACCAGGCCUGGCACCGUGCAUUCCGGUUCGUCUCCAAAGUUAGAAUGAUAAUGAAAGAACUUCUUUUCAGCAAGGCUCCACUUCAUCUUUAUGAAGAUAAACUGCAAGUUCAUUCUACAGGAAAAAAGAGAAGCCAUCUCAGAGCAGAUCUGCUUUGGAAAGAUUUGACAAGAGAUGGAUCUUCUGUACAGAAUCCUAAAACUUUUAUGGAAGAAAGAGAUCCAGAUGCUGAUCCUCAUCCUACUGGAUUAAAGUUAAGGACCUACGAGGUGGCUAAGGUGAUCCUGAACAGGAGGUCUUUGAGCAGGAGAAGGCAAGAGACUCACAAGAACUCACAAGGAGGUACAGGGUUUGCUGAGCUUAGUCCAAAACAAUAGAACAAGGAGUUGUUGGGGAAAAGCUAGCUUGGGAAGCGUAUGUCACCAAGGUUGACUCCCACCUGGACCUCACCCUGCUGGCGUGGUGCUGUUUGUGAGGAACAACCAAUAAGCAAGCAUGAGACUCCCGGAUGAGAGCACUCUAACCUGGUGGGUGCAGAAUGGGGUGCUGCUGCACUUUGUACAACAUUGCAAGUCACUGAAAGUAUCCCAGCCCAUGUGGGCUCACUGGAGGACGAGGGGACAACAGCAAAGGGACCAAAAAUGCCACAGGAAGCACAAGACAUUCCAAUUCUCCUUUUGGGUGCUGGUUGAGCAACAAGUAACUAUGGCGAUUUUGGAUUCUCUAAGAGCUAGCUCACAGGCCAGAUUCAGUUUGCUUGGAUGAAUAGUUUCUGGAACACAACCACACCCUUCCUCUCUGUAUUGUCCGGGCUGCAGGACGCUGCCAUGGCAGAGGUGAGCGGCUGUGACGGACAUCGUGUGGCUCACAAAACCUGACACCGUCUCCAGCGCACUCCUGCAAGCCUUGCUGAUUGAUCUCCGAUGUGCAACAAAGUCCACAACAUCUCUCAUUCUGACUGUGCUCAUUCUGAGUCUGACUUUUAGUCUCAAGUGUGCUUUGAGCCCAGGUGGUGGAUCUUACUUUCCCUGAAAUAAAUCAUGACUUUUUCC